rnacentral:rRNA from 1 species
UACGGAGGGUGCAAGCGUUGCUCGGAAUUAUUGGGCGUAAAGGGUAGGUAGGUGGUCUCAUUUGUCUUGGGUGAAAUCCUUGGGCUUAACCCAAGAAGUGCCCCAGAAACGGUGAGACUAGAGUCCUGGAGAGGGUCGUGGAAUUCCCGGUGUAGCGGUGAAAUGCGUAGAGAUCGGGAGGAACACCAGAGGCGAAGGCGGCGACCUGGACAGGUACUGACACUCAACUACGAAAGCGUGGGGAGCAAACAGG